AUUGAACGCUGGCGGCAUGCCUUACACAUGCAAGUCGAACGGUAACAGGUCUUCGGAUGCUGACGAGUGGCGAACGGGUGAGUAAUACAUCGGAACGUGCCUAGUAGUGGGGGAUAACUACUCGAAAGAGUGGCUAAUACCGCAUGAGAUCUACGGAUGAAAGCAGGGGAUCGCAAGACCUUGUGCUACUAGAGCGGCCGAUGGCAGAUUAGGUAGUUGGUGGGAUAAAAGCUUACCAAGCCGACGAUCUGUAGCUGGUCUGAGAGGACGAUCAGCCACACUGGGACUGAGACACGGCCCAGACUCCUACGGGAGGCAGCAGUGGGGAAUUUUGGACAAUGGGCGCAAGCCUGAUCCAGCAAUGCCGCGUGCAGGAUGAAGGCCUUCGGGUUGUAAACUGCUUUUGUACGGAACGAAAAGCCCUGGGUUAAUACCCUGGGGUCAUGACGGUACCGUAAGAAUAAGCACCGGCUAACUACGUG
rnacentral:rRNA from 2 species